rnacentral:rRNA from 1 species
UGAGUACGAGAUGCUACGGCAUCGAAGCAGUCUAUGUCAUACUUCCAAGAAAAGCUUGCAAUGUCAUAAACAAAUAAUGCCUGUACCAUAACCGACACAGGUGGGUAGGUAGAGUAUACUAAGGGGCGCGAGAUAACUCUCUCUAAGGAACUCGGCAAAAUGACUCCGUAACUUCGGGAGAAGGAGUGCCUUAUUUUUAUAAGGUUGCAAUAACAAGAUCCAAGCAACUGUUUACCAAAAACACAGGUCUCCGCUAAGUCGUAAGACGAUGUAUGGGGGCUGACGCCUGCCCAGUGCCAGAAGGUUAAAGAAGUUGGUUAGCAUUAGCGAAGCUGAUAACUGAAGCCCUGGUGAACGGCGGCCGUAACAAUAACGGUCCUAAGGUAGCGAAAUUCCUUGUCGGGUAAGCUCCGACCCGCACGAAAGGCGUAAUGAUUUGGAUACUGUCUCGGAGAGGGGCUCGGUGAAAUAGACUUGUCUGUGAAGAUGCGGACUACCUGCACCUGGACAGAAAGACCCUAUGAAGCUUUACUGUAACUUGAGAUUGAAAUUGGACUUUAUCUGCGCAGUAUAGGUGGGAGACGUUGAAAAUAUUCUUGCGGGAAUAUUGGAGUCAUCAGUGAGAUACCACUCUUAUAAUGUUAGAUUUCUAACUUUGUAUCAUUAUCUGGUCAAAGAACAGUUUCAGGCGGGCAGUUUGACUGGGGCGGUCGCCUCCCAAACGGUAACGGAGGCGCACAAAGGUUUCCUCUGAACGUGUAGAAAUCGUAUCUAGAGUGUAAAGGCAUAAGGAGCUUGACUGUGAGACCUACAAGUCGAGCAGGGACGAAAGUCGGUCUUAGUGAUCUGACGGUGCUGAGUGGAAAGGCCGUCACUCAACGGAUAAAAGUUACUCUAAGGAUAACAGGCUGAUCUCCCCCAAGAGUUCACAUCGACGGGGAGGUUUGGCACCUCGAUGUCGGCUCAUCGCAUCCUGGGGCGGUAGUACGUCCCAAGGGUUGGGCUGUUCGCCCAUGAAAGCGGUACGCGAGCUGGGUUCAGAACGUCGUGAGACAGUUCGGUCCAUAUCCGGUGUAGGCGUUAGAAUAUUGAGAGGAGCCUUCUUUAGUACGAGAGGACCGAGAAGGACAUACCUCUGGUGUACCAGUUAUCGUGCCAACGGUAAACGCUGGGUAGCCAUGUAUGGAGAGGAUAACCGCUGAAAGCAUCUAAGUGGGAAGCCCACCUCAAGAUAAG